CUGAAAUGUUGAUAAAUCUAGCGACGAAAUUGCUAAAUUGGCAUCACUGCUCUGAUGCUUGAUCCGGGUCAGUCCAGGUCUGGCCAUGCAGGGAGACCCAGGGAAGGUGGAACUACACAGUCUGGAGGUACAGUUCUAGAUAAUUCUGGGGGAAACGGGAGCAGCGGGACAUGAGAUCAUUUCCUGGGCCGCUGGCUAGGGAAGACCUGCACAAAGUAGAUGCCAUGUGUUUUGCCCACCAGAGGGCAGAAGCCUGCAUGACAAGGGCUCUGCCGGCCUCCUUUGGAAUCUACUUGUACUGCUGUUCAGCCAAAAUGGAGUAGGUGAACAUCUCUUCACGCUCUUAUAUUAGCGUAUUGUUGGCUCAGACAUGGCAGAGCUGCUGAUGAGGAACUCUCAGGGACAAUAUGGUUCAGGAGGCAGUGAAGGCUCAUAGGCCCCUACCCUAAUAGAUCUGAGCGAGGGCCCCAGUCCUGAGACAAACGCCUUGGAUGGAGCAGACCUACUAACAGGGGCAGCCACCAGUGUCUGUAUAGCUGAGUUCACAGAGAAGGAUAUGCAGGGAUACGCCAAGCUUCUCCUGGCUGGACGGAAGAAGGUCAGGGUAAACUCUCUGUCCCUGUCUCAGUUUGUCGGUCUGUGUCUUUCUCUCUCUUUUUUGGUCUCGCUCCUCACUGUUCCCCUCUCUAUUUAUAUCAGAGAUAUUUAGUAAGAUUAAUGGUAAUGUAAUCUCCUAUGUAUUCUGACAGUAAUAGAUGGUGUAUGACACUGAUUAAAACCACAAAGACAGCAUAGUUGACACAUUACUGUCUGACUAAUGUUACACCAGGACUAUCCUCUUACUCCUCCAACACUAACCCCUGACACUGUGUUCUUCUGCAACACUUCCACGUCUCCUCCAUGUUCUUUCACACCUCUUUCACCCCUGCCCUAUGCCUCCAUCAUAACUCCCCACGCCUCAUGUCUCCUCCAGAUACUUUAGACUCACAGAUCCCCCUCUGCUAGCUCUCCCACAUCUCCCUUACACCUCCCCAUGCCUCCCCACGUCCGCCCCACAGUUCCUUCACACCUCCCCCACACCUUCCCAUCGUUCCUUCACGCCUUCCCAUGCCUCCCUCCACGCCUCAUUCACAUCUCCUCCACAUCACCUUUAUGGUUCUUUCGCAUGAGGCCCUAGAGUCGGCCAUGAAGAGUGGACUGUGGGGACACGUCCUGUUCCUGGCCAGCAAGAUGGACAACAGGUUCUAUAUCACUGUGUGGAACAGGUGAGAGCAUGGAGCUGCAUUAUCUCUGGGACAUUACAACAUAGAUAUAGAAUAUUUGUCCGCAUAGUAAAUUGAAUUGACUGUUUGAUAUUUUGUUUUCAGUGCCACUUUUUACAGGUCAUAAACACCCCCUUAUAGGGAUAUUAAGUCUUUAAUUAAUUCCUAGAAGAUUGAUCUUUCUCCGGACUUUCAUAAGUAAAAUCUAUAUAUACUGUCUUUGUCCCAAAUGGCACCUUAUUCCCUACAUAGUGCACUACGUUGACCCUAUGGAGCCUGGUCGAAAGUGGCACACCAUGUAGGGAAUAGGGUGCUAUUUGGGACAUAUACACUGUUUCUAUCCUGCAGUACUUUGGUCACUCACUUACAGCUGUUGUCUUCUUCCUAUAAUCUAAGCAAGGGUAUUCCUGUUGUGAACCCUGUGAAUUGCUCAGUCAAUAAUACACAGAGAUGGAUCAUAAUAUCCUUGUGAACUGCUAGACAUCGUAACCCAACCCUUCAUACUGCAUAAUCAGCAGUGCGUCCAUGCCUAGGGAGAGAAUGUGUUUUUGGGGCCAGUAAGGCCACAUGAGUGGGGGAGGAGAGUUGGAUGGAGCUGGGAAUUCCCAGCCUGGGAGGGAGCAGGAGGGAGAGGCGAAUGGAGACGAGGAUGAGGGGGGAGG